UACGUAGGUGGCAAGCGUUGUCCGGAUUUAUUGGGGUUAAAGGGUGCGUAGGCGGCCUAUUAAGUCAGUUCUGAAAUAUCCCGGCUUAACCGGGAGGGUGGGAUUGAUACUGAUGGGCUUGAGUGGAAUCGAGGUAGGCGGAAUUGACGGUGUAGCGGUGAAAUGCUUAGAUAUCGUCAAGAACACCGAUAGUGUAGACAGCUUACUAGACUUCAACUGACGCUGAGGCACGAAAGUGUGGGGAUCAAACAGG
rnacentral:rRNA from 1 species